rnacentral:piRNA from 1 species
UGUGCCGAUGUCCAGCAGAGAGAGAG